rnacentral:rRNA from 1 species
UAGGGAAUCUUCCGCAAUGGGCGAAAGCCUGACGGAGCAACGCCGCGUGAGUGAUGAAGGUCUUCGGAUCGUAAAACUCUGUUAUUAGGGAAGAACAAAUGUGUAAGUAACUAUGCACGUCUUGACGGUACCUAAUCAGAAAGCCACGGCUAACUACGUGCCAGCAGCCGCGGUAAUACGUAGGUGGCAAUCGUUAUCCGGAAUUAUUGGGCGUAAAGCGCGCGUAGGCGGUUUUUUAAGUCUGAUGUGAAAGCCCACGGCUAAACCGGGGAGGGUCAUUGGAAACUGGAAAUCUUGAGUGCAGAAGAGGAAAGUGGAAUUCCAUGUGUAGCGGUAAAAGGCGGAGAGAUAUGGAGGAACACCAGUGGCGAAGGCGACUUUCUGGUCUGUAACUGACGCUGAUGUGCGAAAGCGGGGGGAUCAAACAGG